CCUACGGGAGGCAGCAGUGGGGAAUUUUGGACAAUGGACGCAAGUCUGAUCCAGCCAUGCCGCGUGUGGGAAGAAGGCCUUCGGGUUGUAAACCACUUUUGUCAGGGAAGAAACGGCUCACUCUAAUACAGAGGGCUAAUGACGGUACCUGAAGAAUAAGCACCGGCUAACUACGUGCCAGCAGCCGCGGUAAUACGUAGGGUGCAAGCGUUAAUCGGAAUUACUGGGCGUAAAGCGUGCGCAGGCGGUUAUGCAAGACAGAUGUGAAAUCCCCGGGCUCAACCUGGGAACUGCAUUUGUGACUGCAUGGCUAGAGUACGGUAGAGGGGGAUGGAAUUCCGCGUGUAGCAGUGAAAUGCGUAGAUAUGCGGAGGAACACCGAUGGCGAAGGCAAUCCCCUGGACCUGUACUGACGCUCAUGCACGAAAGCGUGGGGAGCAAACAGGAUUAGAUACCCUGGUAGUCCACGCCCUAAACGAUGUCAACUGGUUGUUGGGAGGGUUUCUCUCAGUAACGUAGCUAACGCGUGAAGUUGACCGCCUGGGGUGGUACGGCGCGAGUAGUUAACGUUACGAANAGAGUUGNGGCGNGAGACGNGCGACGGACGACGACGAGGGAGGAGG
rnacentral:rRNA from 1 species